rnacentral:rRNA from 1 species
CGGACGGGUGAAUAAUGUCUGGGAAACUGCCCGAUGGAGGGGGAUAACUACUGGAAACGGUAGCUAAUACCGCAUAACGUCGCAAGACCAAAGAGGGGGACCUUCGGGCCUCUUGCCAUCGGAUGUGCCCAGAUGGGAUUAGCUAGUAGGUGGGGUAACGGCUCACCUAGGCGACGAUCCCUAGCUGGUCUGAGAGGAUGACCAGCCACACUGGAACUGAGACACGGUCCAG